rnacentral:rRNA from 1 species
GAUGAACGCUGGCGGCGUGCCUAAUACAUGCAAGUCGAGCGAACAGACGAGGAGCUUGCUCCUCUGACGUUAGCGGCGGACGGGUGAGUAACACGUGGAUAACCCACCUAUAAGACUGGGAUAACUUCGGGAAACCGGAGCUAAUACCGGAUAAUAUAUUGAACCGCAUGGUUCAAUAGUGAAAGACGGUUUUGCUGUCACUUAUAGAUGGAUCCGCGCCGCAUUAGCUAGUUGGUAAGGUAACGGCUUACCAAGGCAACGAUGCGUAGCCGACCUGAGAGGGUGAUCGGCCACACUGGAACUGAGACACGGUCCAGACUCCUACGGGAGGCAGCAGUAGGGAAUCUUCCGCAAUGGGCGAAAGCCUGACGGAGCAACGCCGCGUGAGUGAUGAAGGUCUUCGGAUCGUAAAGCUCUGUUAUUAGGGAAGAACAAAUGUGUAAGUAACUAUGCACGUCUUGACGGUACCUAAUCAGAAAGCCACGGCUAACUACGUG